UGAGGUUGUCAGAGAUGGCAUCAUCAUAGACAAGUUCUAGAGCAUACCUGUACCUGGGCUGACAGGUGCAAUGUAAUUACUUAGAUAUGCUACAUUGAAAUCUGUUGUGCUAUCGGAUCGGCCUAACCAACUGUGUUGCUGAAAACUUCCAUCCAUGACUUUUUCUAUAUCUUGACAAUCUGUGCUUGUUUUGCUGUCAUCCUGAUUCUUCCACCAGACCAGAAAGGGUGACCGGACCAGGGCGCCAUGUUGUAUCCAGUUUUUAGUUUUGAAUUCCUCUUGAUCUUUGGGUGUGAUGUGGCCUGUAAACGCCAUCAAGUUUGGAUGCAGGUGGCAAUGCAGGAAAUGGGGAGAAAAAUAGAUUAUGGGUGUGAUUUUUUGCUUGUUUUCUGGCGGAGGGCUUCAUCGGCCUCAAACAGUGCUUGUGCUUUAGUCUGUACUCUACUCCCUCCGUCCCAUAAUAUAAGAGCUACUAGUGUAAAAAACGCUCUUAUAUUAUGGGACGGAGGGAGUACACUUUUGCUUGUUAUCUGAUUGAUUGAUGCUUUGCACAACACAUUGUACCCUUGUCCGUUUUGUUUGUUGCUUUUUGGCCCGGUAGAUGACUUUGUUAAUUCAAAGUUGGUUGUUGGUCGUUGUAAUUUUAUUUUGGGCGGUACAUGACUUUAUUCAUUCAAAGGUGGAUCUUGAGCCUUAGUUCUAGUAGAAAAUAAAACAAACAAAUGCAUAUUACAACAGAUAAUCAACGCAGAACACUAUGAACUGCCUAAACCUAGAGCUUGCAAACAGGAAAUUGCCGAAAUGCACACCGACGCACAACCAUUAUGAUUUGCAUAUUGGAUAUUUGCAAAGCUUAGAAAAACACUCCCCUCUCUUUUCGCCGCCUCCUGCUACCCACCCAUCACCUAUACCGAUGCUAGAUCGAGGCCGCCGCUUCUCUUUCUCCCAAGUGAUAGGAACAGAGAUCAACUUGAGCGCAAACAAACAAGAUAAUCAAGAGAACAGGGGAAGCAGAGGAGUGAUUGGGUUUCAGAUAGCCCGAAUCAUGUCGCACAUACAAGUUCUCUUGGACCGAUCUAAUCUACCAAGUAGCUAGGGUUCCAGAGCUAGUUACAAUACUCGAAGAAAAAGAUGAUGCCCGAUCCGAUGCGAGAGCUACUUAAGGGCAGGCAAUGACCGACGGUAAAGGUGACGGCAGUUAACUGAAGCGCAGUGAACAGGCUUCAGCUAACUGUUAAAUUUGUCGGACGGUAAACAGAGGAGCUGAGCGGCGACGUGAGCCGUUGAUCUGGCGAGCUUCAAUUGUGGCCGUCCAUCGAAUCGUUCUCUUCCCUGCGCCGUUUCUUCAGUCCGUGUCGCUGUCGAUUUCUUCAGUUAUCUUCAGGUUCAGAUUAGUAGAAGGGUCGUGAGUCUGACACCGAGUCCAUCUCGAUCGACCGUCUCCUGGUCUAGACUCUCGUUCACUCCCCAUGGCCGGAGAAGACCCACUCCGCCGGGACACCGGACUCCUCCCUUUCAACUCGGACUAUACAACUCCGACACCAACCCCCUACUCGAGGAACACGGAGGAAGAUGCUAUAAAGGCCUGCCGAUCCCCUCAACUUCCUCCUCACAUCGCACCACGAGAUCAAGGAUCCAAGGAUCGUUUACCCACUUUCCAAGGAAAACAAUCGAAUCGAGACAAACUCGCGUCUCAUCCCAUGGCGAGCCAGGGCGACGCGAGCGGGAAGAAGGACUACUCCACGGCGAUCCUGGAGAGGAAGAAGUCGCCGAACCGGCUGGUGGUCGACGAGGCGACCAACGACGAGAACUCCACCGUCGCCCUGCACCCGAACACCAUGGACAGCCUCGAGCUCUUCCACGGCGACAUCGUCCUGCUCAAGGGCAAGAAGCGAAAGGACACGGUCUGCAUUCUACUCCCAGACGACACGUGCGACAAGACCAAGGUCCGGAUGAACAAGGUCGUCCGGAAGAACCUGAGGGUCCGGCUCGGCGACGUCGUCUCCGUCCAUCAGUGCCCGGACGUCAAAUACGGGAAGCGCGUCCACGUACUCCCCGUCGACGACAUCGUCCAAGGGAUCGCCGGAAACCUGUUCGACGCCUUCCUGAGACCCUACUUCCUCGAGGCCUAUCGUCCCCUCAGGAAAGGAGACCUGUUCCUGGUGAGAGGCGGCAUGACGAGCGUGGAGUUCAAGGUUGUGGAGACCGACCCCGCGGAGUACUGCAUCGUCGCGUCUGACACGGAGAUAUUCUGUGACGGCGAGCCUGUCAAGCGGGAGGAUGAGGAGAGACUCGACGACGUAGGCUACGACGAUGUCGGUGGGGUCAGGAAGCAGAUGGCCCAGAUCAGAGAGCUGGUUGAGCUCCCACUGCGCCACCCCCAGCUGUUCAAGUGCAUCGGUGUGAAGCCUCCAAAGGGCAUCUUGCUGUAUGGGCCACCUGGGACCGGCAAGACCCUCAUUGCUAGAGCUGUGGCCAAUGAAACAGGGGCCUUCUUCUUCCUGAUCAAUGGCCCGGAGAUCAUGUCGAAGAUGGCCGGAGAGAGCGAGAGCAACCUCAGGAAGGCGUUUGAAGAGGCCGAGAAGAAUGCUCCGGCCAUCAUCUUCAUCGAUGAGAUCGAUUCCAUAGCACCAAAGAGAGACAAGACCAACGGAGAAGUCGAAAGGCGUAUCGUCUCACAGCUGCUCACUCUCAUGGAUGGGCUUAAGUCCCGUGCACAUGUUAUUGUCAUGGGCGCUACCAACCGCCCGAAUAGCAUCGACCCUGCUCUCAGAAGGUUUGGCAGGUUUGACCGGGAGAUCGACAUCGGAGUCCCCGAUGAAGUUGGGCGGCUUGAGGUUCUCCGGAUUCACACCAAAAACAUGAAGCUAGCUGAAGAUGUUGAACUGGAGCAUGUCUCAAGGGACACUCAUGGGUAUGUCGGCGCUGAUCUCGCCGCCCUUUGUACCGAGGCUGCUCUCCAGUGCAUUCGCGAGAAGAUGGAUGUUAUCGACCUCGAGGAUGACACCAUUGAUGCUGAGAUACUAAAUUCUAUGGCUGUCACGAAUGACCAUUUCAAGAUUGCACUGGGGACAAGCAACCCUUCCGCUCUUCGUCAAACUGUCGUGGAAGUUCCAAAUGUCUCUUGGGAAGACGUUGGUGGUCUGGAGGGUGUCAAAAGGGAGCUGCAGGAGACCGUCCAGUAUCCGGUGGAAUACCCAGAGAAGUUUGAGAAGUUUGGCAUGUCUCCCUCCAAAGGUGUUCUGUUCUACGGCCCUCCGGGCUGCGGCAAGACCUUGUUGGCCAAGGCGAUUGCUAACGAGUGCCAGGCUAACUUCAUCAGCAUCAAAGGACCGGAGCUGCUUACCAUGUGGUUUGGUGAGAGCGAGGCCAAUGUGCGCGAGAUUUUCGACAAGGCCAGGGGGUCGGCACCAUGUGUCCUCUUCUUCGAUGAGCUCGACUCGAUUGCCACGCAGAGAGGAAACAGUGUAGGCGAUGCCGGAGGUGCCGCUGAUAGGGUGCUGAAUCAGCUUCUCACCGAGAUGGACGGAAUGAAUGCCAAGAAAACCGUGUUCAUCAUCGGUGCCACCAACAGGCCAGACAUCAUAGACCCUGCCUUGCUGAGGCCUGGGCGCCUUGAUCAGCUUAUCUACAUUCCUCUGCCCGACAUUGAAUCCAGGCUCCAGAUCUUCAGGGCCUGCCUCAGGAAGUCUCCUGUGGCCAAGGAUGUCGACCUGAAUGCGCUCGCCAAAUACACACAAGGGUUCAGCGGCGCGGACAUCACGGAAAUCUGCCAGCGUGCGUGCAAAUAUGCCAUCAGAGAAAACAUUGAGAAGGACAUGGAAAAGGAGAGGCGGCUGAAGGAAAACCCUGAAGCCAUGGAGGAAGACGAGAUGGAUGAGAUCAAGGCUGCUCACUUCGAGGAGAGCAUGAGGUAUGCACGCCGGAGUGUGAGCGAUGCUGAUAUUCGCAAAUACCAGGCCUUUGCUCAGACGCUGCAGCAGUCCCGUGGUUUUGGCAGCGAGUUCCGGUUCCCUGACCAGCCGGCGGCGGGUGCUACAGCUGCGGCCAAUCCUUUCGCGGCCGCUGCCACGGCAGCUGAAGAAGAUGAUUUGUACAGUUAAAUCGUGUGUUGUCUCUUGAAGAUCAUGUAACUAUAUUUUUACGUGCAGUGUUGUGAUGUGUAUAUAUGCUGAAGUUUGAAGAUUGUAUCCUCCACCUAAAAGAAAGAAAAAACCAUUUCCUCUCGUCUCCUAUUCCAGUUUGUGUGCCAAGGAUAUAUCCAUUGGCCUGUGGUAAAGUUAUGUUGUUCUGUACAUGCCCUAUCAAAGGGUAAUAGCAAUUUAGCAUUAUACGCGGUGCCAUUUUUCUCUUUGAAAUGUACUAAUUCGAUUCCUUCUCCUACCUAAUAAAUCUUCUGUCAUAUAAUGCUAAAUAAACCUUCUGUCGCACUACACAUUUUGUUGUUGCAAAUGAUUACCUCUACUGAGAAGUAAGAAAUACCCCAGCCUCUCUCGAAUGUUGGCAAAUUAGUUCAGCAUUACCUAAAAGUCUCUACAAUGCACGAGUAUCAAAUUUUUGGAUUCUCUGACAAAGUAACCGAAAUAAUUUGCAAGGCAGUAGAUUAUUCAUGUUGGUAUUAAUUAGUUAGUUAUUCACAUAAGAUCCUUUGGCAUCUGCUGUCGCGUCAGCGGAAGAAGACGAUGAUUUAUACUACAGUUGAAUUUUCUGUUGUGCCAUGAGCUUACUCUUAAGAAACACAAACCUUUGAUGUCCUACUGUCUAGUGUCCACGAGUAGAGUCCAAUCAGUGUGCCAGGUAUCGGCAUGUGGUAAUUGUUGUCCCUGUAGAUAGUACCUUUGCUGCUCCCUUAGAUGCUCAGUAUUGGCUUGUUUACUCCGAUCCAUUCACAAUCAACAUUGCUCCACCAUUUCUGAUGUGUGGGUGGGAUGACCAUGCUCUCAAGCUUUAACUUUGGAAGGACUUUUACCCCAGCUGUGAUGGAUUUUUGGUAUGAGGUAGAGCAGAUUGCCUCCAGCAUUAACAAGGUCAAGGGCAUGGCUGCCCAGAAAUAUCUGGCAAUAUACCGACAGCGGAUUUACUCAACCAUGGUUUAGCAUUAUACCUGAAAGUCUCUACAAUGCACGGAUAUCAAAUUUUCGGUUCUCCAACAAAGUAACCGAAAUAAUUUGCAAGGCAGUAGAUUAUUCAUGUUGAUAUUAAUUAGUUAUUCACUGCAAGGCUCAGACCAUGGACAAUCUGAGAAGGGGAAACAUGAAUAAAGCAGAGGAUGUUCAGAAACUGAAACUGUGCAUCUAUCACCUACAAACCUUUUCCUAUUUCUGUCGUUCUUCCGUUCCUACGUUUUUAUAUCCUCUAUUCCGAACAGGGCCUUGGAUAUGUUUUCUCUGCUAGCUUACAUUCAAAUCUGUUGUGCUAUCUGAUCGGCCUAUUAACCAACUGUGUUGCUGAUAACUCCCAUCCAUGACUUUUUCUAUAUCUCCACAAUUUGUUGCUUGUUUUGCUGUCAUCCUGAUUUUUCCUCCAGACCAGAAAGGGUGAC
rnacentral:lncRNA from 1 species